rnacentral:rRNA from 1 species
UACAGAGGGGGCAAGCGUUGUUCGGAAUUACUGGGCGUAAAGGGCGCGUAGGCGGCCUUCUAAGUCGAACGUGAAAUCCCUGGGCUCAACCCAGGAACUGCGUCCGAUACUGGGAGGCUUGAAUCCGGGAGAGGGAUGCAGAAUUCCAGGUGUAGCGGUGAAAUGCGUAGAUAUCUGGAGGAAUACCGGUGGCGAAGGCGGCAUCCUGGACCGGCAUUGACGCUGAGGCGCGAAAGCCAGGGGAGCAAACGGG